AUGACUCUUGGCAAUGGAUAUCUCAACUCUCGCAUCGAUGAAGAAUACAAUGAAAUGUGAUACUUGGUGUGAAUUGCAAAAUCCCGUGAACCAUCGAGUCUUGGAAUGCAAGUUGGGCCCCAAGGCUUUGGGCUGAGGUCACGUCUGCCUUGGUGUCACGCAUUGCAGCCCCCCACCUUCCUGGUAAUGUUUGUGGGGGCUACGUGUGGCUGAUACUGGCCUUCCCCUAUGCAUAGUAAUGCGGCUAGCCCAAAUGGAAGAACCCAGGGCAGUGUAUGCCAUAAUGAACGGUGGUGUGUGCUUAGCCUGCUGUCGUUAGAGCACAUCAUGCCCCUGAGGUGUGUUCCUUGGACAACCCCGACGUAAUCAUGGUGCACAUCGCAACCCUAGGUUAGUUUGGAGCACCCACUGAGUUUAAGCAUAUCAAUAAGUGGAUGGAAAGAAACUUACCAGGAUUCCCCUCGUAAUGCCGAGCGAACCGGGAAUAGCCCAGCUUGAAAAUCGGUCACCCUAGGUGUUUGAAUUGUAGUCUGGGGAAGCGUCUUUAGCGGCGAACUAGGCCCAAGUCCCUUGGAAGGGGGUACCUGAGAAGGUGAGAGCCCCAUUGUGCCCAGACCUUGUCGCACCAUCAGAUUGUUUGGGAAUGCAGCCCUAAUCGGUCGGUGAAUUUCAUCCAAGGCUAAAUAUGGGCAAAAGGCCGAUAGCGAACAAGUAUCUCAAGGGAAAGAUGAAAAGGACUUUAAAAAGAGAGUCAAAGAGUUGUUGAAAUUGUUGAGAGGGAAGCGGAUGGGGGCUGGCGAUGCACCCCGAUCGGAUGCGAAAUGGCAUAAACCAGUCCGUCAAUCGGCUCAGGGUGUAGACCGACGUGGAUUAUGUCAGCGUCCCAAGCCCGGGCUUUUGAAAUGCUUGUGAAGAUGGCGUCACCUUGAUCGUGGCCUACAGCACGUAGCUCAUGGCAUGCCUUAGCAUUUGCAUGCUCCUGGCAUUGGCCUGUGGGCUCCCUAUUUGACCCGUCCUGAAACACAGACCAAGGAGUCUGGCACGCAUGUGAGCCAUUGGGCAAGAAAAUCCAUAAGGCAAAAGGAAGCUAAUUGGUGGGAUCCCCUAUGGGUGCACCGCUGACCGACCUUGAUCUUCUGAGAAGGGUUUGAGUAAGAACAUGCCUUUUGGGACCUAAAAGAUGGUGAACUAUGCUUGAGCGGGUCAAAGCUAGAGGAAACUCUGGUGGAGGCCCGCAGUGAUACUGACAUUUAAAUCGUUCGUCUGACUUAGGUGUUGGGGCGAAGGACUAAUCGAACCGUUUAGUAGCUGGUUCCCUCCAAAGUUUCCCUCAGGAUAGCUAGAGCUCAUGCUAGUUCUAUGGGGUAAAGCCAAUGAUUAGAGGCAUCGGGGGCACAACACCCUCGACCUAUACUUAAACUUUAAAUAGGUAGGACGGUGUGGCUACUUUGUUGAGCCGCAUCACGGAAUCGAGAGCUCUUAGUGGGCCAUUUUUGGUAAGCAGAACUGGCAAUGCAGGAUGACCAGAAGCUAGGUUAUAGUGCUUAACUGCACGUUAACCUAGAUCCAACAAAGGGUGUUGGUCGAUUAAGACAGUAGGAUAGUGGUCAUGGAAGUCAAAAUCCGCUAAGGAGUGUGUAACAACUCACCUGCCGAAUCAAUUAGCCCCGAAAAUGGAUGGCACUGAAGCGUGUGGCCCACACCCGGCCGUCAGGGCAAGUACCAGGCCACGAUGAGUAGGAGUGCACGGCGAUCGCUGCAAUACCCAGGAUGUUAGCCUGGGCGGAGUGGCCGUCGGUGCGGAUCUUGGUGGUAGUAACAAAUAUUCAAAUGAGAACUUUGAAUGUUGAAGAGGGGCAGGGUUCAAUGUGAACGGCACUUGCAGAUGGGUUAUUCGAUUUUAACAGACAGGGGAAGCUCGUCUGAUGGCGUUUCAGCAUGAGCUUCAAAAAGGAAUCAGGUUAAAAUUCCCUAUCCGGGCUGCUCUGGGAGGAAGACAUUGUCAGGUAGGGAGUUUGGCUAGGGCAGCACAUUUGUUAAAAGAUAAUGCAGGUGUCCUAAGAUCACCCCAACGAGAACAUAAAUCUCGUGUGGAACAAAAGGGUAAAAGCUCAUUUGAUUCUGAUUUUCAGUAUGAAUACGAACCAUGAAAGUGUGGCUUAUCGAUCCUUUAGACCUUUAGAAUUUGAAGCUAGAGGUGUCAGAAAACUUAUUACAGGGAUAACUGGCUUGUGGCAGCCAAGCGUUCAUAGCGACCUUUCUUUUUGAUCCUUUGAUGUCAGCUCUCCUAUCAUUGGGAAGAAAAAUUCACCAAGUGUUGGAUUGUUCACCCACUAAUAGGAAUGUGAGCUGGGUUAAGACUGCCAUGAGACAGGUUAGUUUUAACCCACUGAUGAUCGUAUCGCGAUAGUAAUUCAACCUAGUAUGAGAGGAACCGUUGAUUUGCAUAAUUGGUUAUCAUCCUUGGUUGAAAAGCUAGUGGCGUGAAGCUACCGUGGAUUUGAUUAUGAUUGAAUGCCUUUAAGUCAGAAUCUGGGCUAGAAGCGAUGCAUGCGCCGAUUGUCCAUUUACCGACCUGUAGUAGGAGCCUCGGGCCCUAAAGGCACAUGUCGGGCGACUAGUUGUCAUGACAGACUGGUUGCGAAGUCCUCCAUGAAGAUAAAUUUCCAUUUAA
rnacentral:rRNA from 1 species